rnacentral:rRNA from 1 species
CUUAGGCGUGUGACUGCGUACCUUUUGUAUAAUGGGUCAGCGACUUAUAUUCUGUAGCAAGGUUAACCGAAUAGGGGAGCCGAAGGGAAACCGAGUCUUAACUGGGCGUUAAGUUGCAGGGUAUAGACCCGAAACCCGGUGAUCUAGCCAUGGGCAGGUUGAAGGUUGGGUAACACUAACUGGAGGACCGAACCGACUAAUGUUGAAAAAUUAGCGGAUGACUUGUGGCUGGGGGUGAAAGGCCAAUCAAACCGGGAGAUAGCUGGUUCUCCCCGAAAGCUAUUUAGGUAGCGCCUCGUGAAUUCAUCUCCGGGGGUAGAGCACUGUUUCGGCAAGGGGGUCAUCCCGACUUACCAACCCGAUGCAAACUGCGAAUACCGGAGAAUGUUAUCACGGGAGACACACGGCGGGUGCUAACGUCCGUCGUGAAGAGGGAAACAACCCAGACCGCCAGCUAAGGUCCCAAAGUCAUGGUUAAGUGGGAAACGAUGUGGGAAGGCCCAGACAGCCAGGAUGUUGGCUUAGAAGCAGCCAUCAUUUAAAGAAAGCGUAAUAGCUCACUGGUCGAGUCGGCCUGCGCGGAAGAUGUAACGGGGCUAAACCAUGCACCGAAGCUGCGGCAGCGACGCUUAUGCGUUGUUGGGUAGGGGAGCGUUCUGUAAGCCUGUGAAGGUGUACUGUGAGGUAUGCUGGAGGUAUCAGAAGUGCGAAUGCUGACAUAAGUAACGAUAAAGCGGGUGAAAAGCCCGCUCGCCGGAAGACCAAGGGUUCCUGUCCAACGUUAAUCGGGGCAGGGUGAGUCGACCCCUAAGGCGAGGCCGAAAGGCGUAGUCGAUGGGAAACAGGUUAAUAUUCCUGUACUUGGUGUUACUGCGAAGGGGGGACGGAGAAGGCUAUGUUGGCCGGGCGACGGUUGUCCCGGUUUAAGCGUGUAGGCUGGUUUUCCAGGCAAAUCCGGAAAAUCAAGGCUGAGGCGUGAUGACGAGGCACUACGGUGCUGAAGCAACAAAUGCCCUGCUUCCAGGAAAAGCCUCUAAGCAUCAGGUAACAUCAAAUCGUACCCCAAACCGACACAGGUGGUCAGGUAGAGAAUACCAAGGCGCUUGAGAGAACUCGGGUGAAGGAACUAGGCAAAAUGGUGCCGUAACUUCGGGAGAAGGCACGCUGAUAUGUAGGUGAAGUCCCUCGCGGAUGGAGCUGAAAUCAGUCGAAGAUACCAGCUGGCUGCAACUGUUUAUUAAAAACACAGCACUGUGCAAACACGAAAGUGGACGUAUACGGUGUGACGCCUGCCCGGUGCCGGAAGGUUAAUUGAUGGGGUCAGCGCAAGCGAAGCUCUUGAUCGAAGCCCCGGUAAACGGCGGCCGUAACUAUAACGGUCCUAAGGUAGCGAAAUUCCUUGUCGGGUAAGUUCCGACCUGCACGAAUGGCGUAAUGAUGGCCAGGCUGUCUCCACCCGAGACUCAGUGAAAUUGAACUCGCUGUGAAGAUGCAGUGUACCCGCGGCAAGACGGAAAGACCCCGUGAACCUUUACUAUAGCUUGACACUGAACAUUGAGCCUUGAUGUGUAGGAUAGGUGGGAGGCUUUGAAGUGUGGACGCCAGUCUGCAUGGAGCCGACCUUGAAAUACCACCCUU